rnacentral:rRNA from 1 species
UACGUAGGGUGCGAGCGUUUGUCCGGAAUUAUUGGGCGUAAAGAGCUUGUAGGCGGUUUGUCGCGUCUGCCGUGAAAGUCCGGGGCUCAACUCCGGAUCUGCGGUGGGUACGGGCAGACUAGAGUGAUGUAGGGGAGACUGGAAUUCCUGGUGUAGCGGUGAAAUGCGCAGAUAUCAGGAGGAACACCGGUGGCGAAGGCGGGUCUCUGGGCGUGAUACUGACGCUGAGGAGCGAAAGCGUGGGGAGCGAACAGG